CCUGGUAUUUAAUCUUAAAAUCCUACUUAUGCUCAAGCCUGUUGGUAACUUUUUAAAAGCAACAUAUUUAUUGAUUUAGAUCUGCAGUUCGGUCACAUCUAAGCCGGUGUAGUUAGUAAAUUCCUCCGCGCAGCUGUCAGUUUGAGGCAGGUGGAGGGAUAAGUGGAGAACUGCGUCUUUGUCACGGCAAAGUCUGGAUCUUGUGGAUUAAACAGCAACCACGGUAGCUGCUCUCUGGGUUUGUCCCACUUCGGAGCACCGCCCUCAAACACUGGACUCAGCUGCAGGAGAAACUGCUGCUGUCAGACUGACUGAGGACUCACUUUACACCGCAGUCCGAGACCUCGUUUGACCGAACACACACUGGAAGGAAGAAGUUCAGACCGAGAUAUGAGACUGGGCAUGACGGUGCGAGCCAAGCUGAGGGUGUAGCCACAUCUGGCAGAGAGAGCGCUGAAGCGAGCAGGAGCCCCAGACCGUCUACUGCAGCAGGGAAGAUGGGAGAGACAGAGGAGGACAAUGUGGGGAAGCUGUUUGAGAGCUUUUUCCAGGCCUCGACCUGUAAAGGAACGCUUCAGGCCUUCAACGUCCUCUGCAGGCGUCUGGACCUCGACCCUGCCGACCACAGCACCUUCUACAGCAGCCUGAAGGCCAAGGUCACCUCCUGGAAGGCCAAAGCACUGUGGAGCAAGCUGGACAAGAGGAUGUCCCAUAAGGAGUACAAGAAAGGUCAAGCCUGUGUGGGCACCAAGUGCCUCAUCAUCGGAGGAGGUCCCUGCGGCUUGCGGACUGCCAUUGAACUGGCCUUGAUGGGUGCCAAAGUGGUGGUGAUCGAGAAGAGGGACUCUUUCUCCAGGAACAAUGUGCUCCAUCUUUGGCCCUACACCAUUCACGACCUGCGGGGCCUCGGGGCCAAAAAGUUUUAUGGAAAAUUCUGUGCUGGGGCCAUUGACCACAUCAGCAUCCAGCAGCUGCAGCUCAUCCUGCUGAAGGUUGCUCUGAUCGUUGCUGUGGAGUUUCACAUCAACGUGGAGUUUGUCAAGCUGUUGGAACCUCCAGAGGAUCAGGAAAAUGAAGGAGUUGGGUGGAGAGCUGCAAUCCGACCUGCUGAUCACCCUGUGGCUAACUUUGAGUUUGACGUGGUGGUGGGGGCUGACGGACGCAGAAAUACUCUGGAAGGUUUUAAAAGAAAGGAGUUCAGGGGUAAACUGGCAAUCGCCAUCACGGCCAACUUCAUCAACAGGAACACCACUGCAGAGGCCAAGGUGGAGGAGAUCAGCGGAGUGGCCUUCAUCUUCAACCAGAAGUUCUUUCUGGACCUCAAAGAAGAGACAGGUAUUGAUCUGGAGAACAUUGUGUACUACAAGGACAACACACAUUACUUUGUCAUGACUGCCAAGAAACAAAGCCUGCUGGACAAGGGAAUUGUCAUUAAUGAUUACACUGACACUCAGAUGCUGCUGAGCAGUGAAAAUGUCAACCAGGAAGCUCUUCUGUGCUACGCCCGAGAGGCUGCUGACUUUGGUACCAACUACCAGCUUCCCACGCUGGAUUUUGCCAUGAACCACCUUGGGCAGCCAGAUGUAGCAAUGUUUGACUUCACAAGCAUGUACGCCUCUGAGAAUGCCGCCCUGGUCAGGGAGAGAUUUGGACACCAGCUCCUGGUGGCGCUGGUUGGUGACAGUCUGCUGGAGCCCUUCUGGCCAAUGGGAACAGGUUGUGCCAGAGGCUUCCUGGCUGCCUUUGACACAGCCUGGAUGGUGAAGAGUUGGGCUCAGGGUCGGACGGUUCUGGAGGUGCUGGCAGAGAGGGAGAGUAUUUACCGACUUCUGCCACAAACAACACCUGAAAACAUUGCCAAAAACUUUGAUCAGUACACCAUAGACCCUGGAACCCGAUACCCAAACCUCAACUCCUCAUGUGUCAGACCUCACCAGGUGCGUCACUUGUACAUCAGCGGGGAGCUUCAUAGCUGCUCUCUGGAGCGUGCUGCUACCAUACGGCGGCCUGUCAAUCUCUCCAGGCGAGAGUCAGAGAUCAGACCAGCAAGGCUUCUCACCUGGUGCCAGAAACAGACGGAGGGCUACAGGAAUGUGACCGUCACAGAUCUGACCUCUUCGUGGAAAAGUGGCAUCGCCCUCUGUGCCCUAAUCCACAGGUUCAAACCCCAGCUGAUAGAUUUUGACUCAUUAAAUGAUGAGGACUUUGCUGCAAACCUCCAGCUGGCGUUUGACAUCAGUGAACGGGAAUUUGGGAUCCGACCGUUCGCAUCUGCGAAGGAGCUGAGCGACGACGAGGAGCUGGAUAAGACGAAGAUGAUCGCCUACCUGUCCAAAUUCUACGAGCUCUUCCGUGGAACACCUUUACCUGCAUCAGGUUCCAGAGGAGUGGAUGAAAACAAUGAAGAUUAUCCAUCUAAGGAAGUCAGGAGCAAUAAUAAUAAUGUGCUCAAUCUUGCACUGCCCAGGAAACGGGUGCCAAAGGAUGAGAAGAAGUCAGACGGUACAGACCCCAUUUACAAAAGGAGGCGAAAGUUCUGUUAUUUGGAGGAGGCCACCAAUCUGUCCAGUAAUGGCUCUUCAGUACGAGACGGACGAGAUCCCAAAGAAAAUAAAGUGCGCUCAAUGGCUACUCAGUUACUGGCCAAAUUUGAAAGCACACCCAACUACACUGUCCGCAAACCACAGUCAGACUGUGAGAAGUCCUUGCUGCUCCACACUGUUGACCUGAAUGAGAGUCUGCCAGUUAAACUCGGGCCUCCAGUCCCGCCUAAACCUCCUCCUCUAACACAGUUUGAAGUGAGUAUCAGAAAAGCAGCAGAGCAAUUAGUCCGCCUGCCUCCAAAGACUCUGCCCAAACCCCAGCUCCAGCCUCAGCAUCCGUUUUCUGUAGUGAACCUCAGACAUGUUGAUCAAACUGAGACGAAGCCUCAGCCUGACAGUGCAGACCCCCCUGCUUCUCCUCACUCCUGCCAGUCAGCAAUCCAUUUCAUGUUAAGGAUCCUCCACCGCCUCAGGGAGGUGGACGAACACAUCUCUGAGAAGAAAGCUCAGACACAACAGGUUAGAGAGUUUCAUGCAAAGAGUAUUAAGGAAAAAGCUGUUCACCUUAGUGGGUUGUUCGAGACAGAUGGUUCUGCUCUUCUCAAGGGCAGCUCAGUACGGAGGGUGUUUCCCCAGUCAGGUGAUAAGUGUCACUUGUGUGAGAAGCGAGUUUAUAUGGUGGAGAGGGUCUGUGCCGAGGGCCUCUACUUCCACAGGGAGUGUUUUCGCUGUUCCACCUGCAGCUCUGCACUGCGACAGGGAGCUCAGGCCUUCCACUCUGAAGAGGGGAAACUGUACUGCAAACUUCAUUUUGAUCAACGCAACAAUGGGACAAACCUACGGAGGAAUUUGUCUUUUCGCUCAAAUCGUUCUGGAGUUCAGGAAGAAAGUGCUGCUGAUGAAGAAAGCUCCCAGACCAGCUGUCCGACAGACCUGCAUAGUGCAGCUGCCUCAGCUGAUGACUUUUAUGAAGCGUGUAAGGAAACCGGAUGGUUGGGAAAGAUGACAUUUUGAAGACGAAUACGAUGAGGACUCCUACAGUAAAAACAUGGUUUACGGACCAUGCGUGUUCUGCCUUAGGCUGCCAGAGAAGAGAGACGUCACACACUCAGGACUGAGAAUUACAGCUGUUAUGUUGCACAUUGAUAAUAAUAUAAUUUUAUAAAUAUGAGCUUAAUGCUGUCUUUAAUAAAUGUUUUUUCUUGUGCUCUAGAGUAAUUGCUGCAUUACUGUUUGUGCUGCAGUGUUGCUUUUUAACCUUUAAGAGUGUGUUGUGUAGUGUAAUAUUUUCUUGAUGCAAUAUACUAAAAGUAAAAGAUUAUAUAUUUAUGGCAAAUGCUAUUAAAAUUGAAGAACAGAGUUGAGACACGUGAAUGAACUACCUAAUAAUGAAGGCUCUAGUAAUCACUGAUGUUGGUGAUGACAUUGUGUGUAUGUCUGUGGAAGACACACACACACACACACACACACACACACACACAGCUAGAAGAUCAUAAAGUAAAACAUGUUUUUGGUGUAAAGACAGUUCACAUGCUUUUUAGAAAGUGAUACAUGGAGUACUCAAAACAUAAUGGUGUAUAUGUGAGUUAUUAUAACUUUUAAACUACAUUAGAAACAUAACGGGGCUGCACAGUGGGGUAGUGGUUAGCACUUUCGCCUUGCAGCGAGAAGAUCCCUGGUUCGCGUCCCGGCUUUCCUGGGAUCUUUCUGCAUGGAGUUUGCAUGUUCUCCCUGUGCAUGCGUGGGUUUUCUCCGGGUACUCCGGCUUCCUCCCACAGUCCAAAAAUAUGCUGAGGUUAAUUGAUUAUUCUAAAUUGCCCGUAGGUGUGAAUGUGAGAGUGAUUGUUUGUCUUUGUAUGUGGCCCUGCGACAGACUGGCGACCUGUCUAGGGUGUCCCCUGCCUUCGCCCGAGUCAGCUGGGAUAGGCUCCAGCACCCCCCCGCGACCCUAGUGAGGAUUAAGCGGUGUAUAGAUAAUGGAUGGAUGGAUGGAUAGAAACAUAACAGGACAUAAAGGUGUAAUAUGCAUGAAAUCUAUCACAAAAUAAGAGCAGUAAAAUGCGCAGGGGGGCUGAAGCAAAAGCUAGAACAUGUCUGGACAUGUUCAAACGUGACCUAAUGAUAACCUAGUGUUCUCAAUAGGGAGUGAUCUAGGGGUGAAAUAUGAUAACCUGACGCCAUGAUCUGACCAAUAGAUUUUAUAAUGGUGUCAGAACGGUCACUCCAAUCACACGCCCUGUAGGUGUGGAAAAAUGCUGCACACAUGAACCAUGGUAUGAAAUAUCAAGCAGAAAAUAUUUCGCCAAAAAAGCAAUUCCAGCUCUUCAUGUGCUGUCACAUGUGGACAUUAGUCGUAAGUUGCAGUCAGUGUGUUUGGAAAAGAAGCCUAUGGCGAGACUAUAGGCAGUUUUUGUUCAGUGGUUCAUCCAAACUUGUGUCAACUCCAGUGAAAGUGACACCAAAUUGCAGUAAAUAAAUAAAUACUGAAUUUGUCCUUUUUACAGGCAUUUUGUAUUUUUCAGUUACAGAUAUCAUGAUGUAUCGUUGUGUGACCAUCUUGCAAUACAUCGAUUAUCGCAGUAUCAUGAUAGUAUCGGUAUCGUGAGCCAUGUAUCGUAUUGUGAGGUACUCUGUGAUUCCCACCCCUAAUGCAAACUCCACACAGAAAGAUUCCAGGGAGGCGAGGAUGCAAACCAAGGAUCUUCUAGCUAUGAUGCUAACAACCGAGCCGCUGUGCAGCCUCCAGAACAACACAAUCCCUCUGAAUUCAUUAAAAGAACAUCAAACAAAAAUCAGAUUUACUAUAUUGUACAUGGUAAACGUUCACAGUUAAUCACUGAAUCAUUGAAUAUAUUCAGAGGUACACUGUGUUUCAGUGCACAGAUACUGACCUGCACCUUGUAUAACUCUAACAAAUGCUGGUUAAUAAAGCACAUAAACAAGAA